rnacentral:rRNA from 1 species
UACGUAGGGUGCGAGCGUUAAUCGGAAUUACUGGGCGUAAAGCGUGCGCAGGCGGUUUUGUAAGCCAGAUGUGAAAUCCCCGGGCUUAACCUGGGAAUGGCAUUUGGGACUGCAAGGCUGGAGUGCGGCAGAGGAGACUGGAAUUCCGGGUGUAGCGGUGAAAUGCGUAGAUAUCCGGAGGAACACCGGUGGCGAAGGCGGCUUCCUGGACCGACACUGACGCUGAGGCGCGAAAGCUAGGGGAGCAAACGGG